UUUUUUUGUUUUUAAAAAAAACUAUUUGUUUUCUGUGGCUUUUUUUUUUAAAGAAAAGACAAAAAAAAAAUAUUCAUCGUACAAUUUUAAGAAAGACAUUUCUUUUAUAUUCAGGAAUGGAACUUUAAUUAAAGAAUCUAAAACUCGACAAGUAAAAAGAUGUGUUGACGAGUAUAUAUAAAUAUAUAUUAUAUAUUUAUACAUACUCUAACGCAUGCAUCAAUAUACACUUUAACAAACUUUUAAAGUUCUCAUUUGGUUAAAAAAUUACACCUCUCUCUUAGCAUUGUAUGGUAUUUUAUAUUCCUUUAGAUAAACCACAUCCCGGAUUUUCUACUCAAUUCUACCGUCUUGUUGCCGGCAUGCCUUAUAACUUGUGAUAUAAUUGGAUUUUAAACAAAAAGCAAAAAUGGUGAUUCUUGCAAAGGGAGAUCAUGUGUGGCUGGAGCCAAAGACCAAAGAAGAAUUUUCUGUGGCCAUUGGUGCCAAGGUGAAAUUUACAGAGUCUGGAAGAGUUCUUGUUGUCGAUGACGAUGGGAAAGAGAUAUGGGUUGACGGCAAAAGACAAAUUCGUCACAUGCACACUUCUUCCGUUUCCGGGGUGGAAGACAUGAUUGGAUUGGGAGAUUUGAACGAGGCUGGUAUACUGAGAAAUCUGUUCAUACGAUACAUGGACGAUUUAAUCUAUACCUACACUGGAUCAAUUCUUGUUGCUGUGAAUCCCUACCAGGUGCUCUCUAUUUACACACCUGAAAUCAUUCAGAUGUACAGGGACAAAAAAAUAGGGGAACUCAGUCCUCACAUAUUUGCUAUUGCUGACAACUCUUAUUUCAGUAUGAAAAGAUACCAACAAGACCAGUGUGUAAUUAUCAGUGGGGAAUCAGGAGCUGGCAAAACAGAGAGUACUAAAUUGAUUUUACAGUUUUUAGCUGCCAUCAGUGGUCAGCAUUCAUGGAUUGAGCAGCAGAUAUUGGAAGCUAAUCCAAUUAUGGAAGCAUUUGGCAAUGCCAAAACAAUCCGCAAUGAUAAUUCUAGCCGUUUUGGGAAAUAUAUUGAUAUUCACUUCAAUAGCACUGGAUCAAUUGAAGGUGCCAGGAUUGACCAAUAUCUUUUAGAGAAGUCAAGAAUUGUGAAUCAGGCCCCUGAUGAAAGGAAUUAUCACAUAUUUUACUGCAUGCUAGCUGGAAUGAGUUCUGCUGAGAAAGCUCAGUUUGAGCUGACCGAUGCUAAAAACUAUUACUACUUGACUCAGGGUAAAUCACUGGUGUGUGAAGGGCGUGAUGAUGCAAAAGAAUAUGCCAACAUUCGUUCAGCCAUGAAAGUUCUUAUGUUCAAAGAUAAUGAAGUGGUUGAAAUUCUGAAAAUCUUGGCUUCUUUGCUUCAUCUUGGCAAUAUUCGUUACAAUGCAAUUCAAGUGAACAAUAUUGAUGCCAGUGAAAUCUUGGACAUUGCCCAUGUCAAAAAAGCUGCUCAAAUGCUUGGAGUGGACUCACAGUCUCUCAUCGAUGCCCUGACCACUCGUACUAUCUUCACCCGUGGUGACAGCGUCACAUCUACAAUGGGUACAGCUGCCUCUGUUGAUGUCAGAGAUGCCUUUGUGAAGGGCAUCUAUGGCCGCAUGUUUGUUUGGAUCGUUGAUAAGAUUAACGAGGCCAUUUACAAACCUACCAUUUCACCAAGUCAUUACAGAACUAGUAUUGGGGUCUUGGAUAUAUUUGGAUUUGAGAACUUUGAUCAUAAUAGCUUUGAACAGAUGUGUAUCAACUAUGCCAAUGAAAAUCUCCAACAGUUUUUUGUACAGCAUAUCUUCAAGUUGGAACAGGAAGAAUACAACAGUGAAGGCAUCAACUGGCAGCAUAUUGAAUUUGUUGAUAACCAGGAUGCUCUUGAUCUGAUUGCUGUGAAACCAAUGAAUUUGAUCUCUUUGAUUGAUGAAGAAAGUAAAUUUCCCAAGGGAACAGACUCGACUCUGUUGAGUAAACUCCACCAACAACAUGGCAACAACAGCAACUAUCUACGAGCCAAAUCAGAAAUCAGUAUGGUGUUUGGUCUCAACCACUUUGCAGGAGUCGUCUUUUAUGAUACCAGAGGAUUCUUGGAAAAAAAUCGUGACACUUUUAGUGUGGAUCUGAUACACUUGAUCCAAACGUCAUCGAAUGCAUUCCUUACCGACCUCUUUGUUUCUGAAGUCACCAUGGGAAACGAAACAAGGAAAAGAGCACCUACUUUAGGGGCCCAGUUUAAGAAAUCCCUGGAUUCAUUAAUGAGGACACUCAGCAGCUGCCAACCUUUCUUUGUGAGAUGCAUCAAACCAAAUGACUACAAGAAACCACAUAUGUUUGACCGUACCUUGUGCUGCCGACAAUUGAGGUAUUCAGGUAUGAUGGAAACUAUCAGAAUACGAAGAGCUGGCUAUCCAAUCCGACAUCUCUUUAAAGACUUUGUCGAUCGUUACCGUGUCCUGUCUUCAGGUAUUCUGGCUUCACACAAAGAGAACUGCCGAGAAGCAUCUUACAAGAUUUUGCAGACCGUUCUGAAAAAUGCAGAUUACCAACUUGGGAAGACAAAAGUCUUUUUGAAGGAUGCUCAAGAUGUAUUCCUUGAACAGCAGAGAGAGGAAGUGAUGACUCGCAAAAUUCUCAUCAUCCAGAAGACAAUUCGUGCUUGGGCUGUAAGACGAAGAUUUGUGCAAAUGAGAAAUGGCGUGAUUGUCAUUCAGCGUCAAUGGAGAGCCUUUGAAGCCAGAAGACGAUACAAAAAAGUAAAUGAAGCGUGGUUACAUGCGACUCCAAGCCUUGUCCCGUUCGCGGAUACUUACCUACAGCUACCUUCAGUUACGCCACAAAAUCAUCAACUUCCAACGCCGUGCUCAUGGCUACCUGGUACGUCAAGCUCUGAGGAAACGGCGCAUUGCCAUUGUGAAGAUUCAGUCUGGUGUCAGAGCCAUGAUUGCCAGGAAACGAUUCCGACGUCUUAAAAUUGAGUAUCAAAAGAAAAUGGAAGCAGAAAGAUUGCGUCUUGAAGAGGAAAGCAGACUCCGUAAAAAUAUGACUGAGAAAAAAGCCAAACUAGAGGCUGACAAACUUCACCGGGAAAGACUUGCUUCCAUC